rnacentral:lncRNA from 1 species
CUUGGCCCAUUUGUCAUUUCUGUAUGGAGUUUAUUUAUUAUUUUCAUGAAGAGAGCUAAUUUACACCAAGGGCGUGUGGCCCAGUGGAAAGGGGGUUGACCCAUGAUCUCAAGAUCAGGGGUUCAACCCCUAGUGCCCCCCAUUGUUCUAAUUUCUUUAUUUUCCCUUUUAUUUCUUAUUUUCAUUUUAUUGUAUUUUAUUUAUUUAUUUUCUUUCCAUUUUCUUUCUGUUUCCCUUUAUCAUUUAUUUCUUUUUAAUCAAAUAUUUUUGUA